rnacentral:tmRNA from 1 species
GGGGGUGAAAGUUUCGACAAGAGUUUUAUAAAGAUAGGCAAUUUGAGUUUUCUCAAACCUCAUAAAACUUUGAGAAGCAAGAAUAAGUGCUAAUUUAUUCAAGCAACCCGCUUUAGCUUUAGCUUAAGGCGGCAUCCCCUUCUCGGAUUCUCGCUAGGUGCUAUAGGGGGUGUUAUAUCAGCGAGAUAGAUGGCUCUUUCAGGAGGGUUCAGAAAAGCCGUCAAACAACAAAGAACCCGGAGCAGGAAGAUUUUUCCUAUUUUAAACUUCCAGCUCUAAAAACCAAAUAGGAUACAUUUGUAGAACUAUCUUUAGAACAAUUCUUGGAUGCGAGCUCACUCUCGCCACCUCCACUU